AACUCAGGCCAUGUUUGCUGGAUUCUUCUUUUCAGAUUAUAUCCCUUAUGUUGGCAAGAUUAUCGAUACGCUCAGUGGAUUACUCCCUCGACUCAACAAGAACUUCUCAGAAUUUGAUGUUCUCUAUCAAGAUAUCAUCGACGAACACCUCCAGGGGAAGGCACCCAAGUCAGAAUGCGAGAACUUAGUGGAAGUUUUACUUAAACUUUACAAGGAGAACGCAUACAAAAUUCAACUCACCUUUGCUCACCUGAAAGCAAUUCUCAUGGUAUAUAUUUAUAUAGAUUGCUAAAGUUAAAACUAUUUCUAUUAUCAUUCUUGAACUCAACAUUUGUUUCUUGCAGAAUGUAUUUAUUGCUGGAACGGACACAAGCGCCUCUGCUGUGG
rnacentral:lncRNA from 1 species